ensembl:miRNA aca-mir-130c aca-mir-130c
UGUUGCUGUCCGGAGCCCUUUUUCUGUUGUACUACUGGCAAGUAUGAGUAGCAGUGCAAUAUUAAAAGGGCAUUGGCUGGCAGGCUA